UUGAGCACUGAUUUUUCAACGCGCAUUGCGGCCUCGGGUCCUGCCCGGGGCCUCGCCUGUCUGAGGGUC
rnacentral:rRNA from 1 species